rnacentral:misc_RNA from 1 species
AAGUCGUAACAAGGUUUCCGUAGGUGAACCUGCGGAAGGAUCAUUAAUGAAAUGAUGUUUUUUGGGGUUUUUAAAUUCCAAAAAAUAAUUCACCAUUUGUGCAUUGUUAUUAGACAUACUUUGGUUAGAGCUUUGAUUUCGUUUAUUGGAAUCAACUUCUUGCUGACUCUAUCCUAUUAUAAGGGACAGUUGGCUAUGAAGCGGCCUACCAAGGUUUUUUUAUCAAACUCUUGUAUUUUAUCUGACCUGUAAACAAAUAAUUAAAUCAUAACUUUCAACAACGGAUCUCUUGGCUCUC